rnacentral:misc_RNA from 1 species
GAUGAAGAACGCAGCGAAAUGCGAUAAGUAAUGUGAAUUGCAGAAUUCAGUGAAUCAUCGAAUCUUUGAACGCGUCUUGCGCUCCUUGGUAUUCUGAGGAGCAUGCCUGUUUGAGUGUCAUUAAAUUCUCAACUACACUGACUUUGAAUUGGUGUGGCUUGGAUUUGGGGGGAAAAUUGUUGUGGGCUUUUUGUAUAGUCUGCUCCCCUGAAAUUGAUUAGCGGUACCUUUGUGGAACUGUCUACAGGUGUGAUAAUUAUCUACAUCUUAGACAUCUGCUGGAAUGCUGCUUUCUAAACCUUACUUGUAUUGACAAUCUUGACCUCAAAUCAGGUAGGACUACCCGCUGAACUUAAGCAUAUCAAUAAGCGGAGGA